rnacentral:lncRNA from 1 species
ACCCUUUGAGGUUUCUUUACUGGCAUUGUUAUUUUGAUUGGAGAGCCAAUUUGCUAUCUGUGAACUUUUGCAGAUGCGUGAAUCGUGAGUGAGAUAGAGAGGUGACAUAUAUUUGAGUGUGUGGUAUGGGGGAGAGAAAGAGUCACUUUUUGUGCUCUUCCGGGCACGUCUUCAAACACACCAUGCUGUCCCCCACACAGAUCUCUGAGAACUCUGGCCACACCUCAUUCUUAAAAGCAUAAUAUGUGAGUGACUAGGACAGAAUUCUUUCCCUGGAUUCCCUUAGAGAAUGUCUCACGAAAUAACGUCUCAUGGCAAUGAAUCAUCGGCUCAGGAUCCGACCAGUAAGCCACUGGCCACAUUUCUAUUUUUAAGAGUCACUAGGAAAAGUUGGAAAUAAUUUUAGAAAAUAAAGAAAAUACUCUUUGGCCUUUCUUUCAUUUUCUUUUCAUUUGGGGAGUAAGUGGAGAAUGGGGGAAGAGAUCUCAUGUCUUUGAUUCAUGUAAAGCCAAGUUCUGGAAAUAUAGCAAACGCAGGAGAACUCUUUCUUAAGUGGUAGGAACAGUCCUAAUUCCCACAGUUUAGGUUAUCUGGUCUAUUUCAAGGUUUUGGUGCGUGAGGUUUGGUGUCAACAGCAUGAUAUGAUCUGUGGUAUACUUAGGGUUCCCAAAUAUGAAUGUA